rnacentral:rRNA from 1 species
GGCUCCUUGAGCCCAAAAAAUAAGGAGUCGGACCUGCCCAGUGAAUUUUUUUAACGGCCGCGGUACUCUGACCGUGCAAAGGUAGCAUAAUCAUUUGCCUUAUAAUUGAAGGCUUGUAUGAAUGGUUUGACAAGAAUGUAACUGUCUCUUUACAAUUAUCUAGAAUUUUAUAUAUGGGUGAAGAAGCCCAUAUUGCAAUGAUAGACAAGAAGACCCUAUCGAGCUUAAAAGAAGUUAGUAAACUUUGAAUUAAUGCUAAUUAGAAAAUUAAUUACUAAAAAUUUUGGUUGGGGCGACAGAGGAACAAAUAAAGCUUCCUUUUUGGUAAUACAAUAACAAACAAGUAAUGAUCCAAAAACUUUGAUUAAAGAAAUUAGUUACCGUAGGGAUAACAGCAUUAUCUUUUUUGAGAGCUCUAAUCGAAAAAAAGGUUUGUGACCUCGAUGUUGGACCAGAAUAUCCUGAAGAUGUAGCCGUCUUCAAGGGUUGGUCUGUUCGACCAUUAAAAUUCU